AGCACGACUGACUGAAGUUUUAAAAUCAUGCAACGUCAUAAAGCAGCAGCUGGGCCUGAUUCUCACAAAACCAAAACAGACGUGAUGAAAUUCCAGAUGUAAACACAUUUGACCUUCCUUUGGCCAAUUUGAUUUGGAAAAGCUUGAAAAUCAACUAAAGGAGCAGCCUGAACAAAUAAACUGAUGGAGUGAGGACAAAUGUCCAUACCACGCCACUGAUAAAGAAGUGGAAAAAUGCAUUACAAGGUAGCUACAACUUGCCCCUGACAGGGAUGGAGGAAGAAAGAAGAGAAAGCUAAUGUGUCAAAUGUCUACAUCACUAUUUUGUUUUAUUUUUUAAACAACAUUUUAAGUGUAUUAGGAUGUUCCCUGAUACUUGAACAAUUUGUUUCUUUCAUUUGCAUUUAUAUAUAUAUAUAUAUAUAUAUAUAUAUAUAUAUAUAUAUAUAUAUAUAUAUAUAUAUAUAUAUAUGUAUGUAUGUAUGUGUGUGCGCCAAAUUCUGAAGAAACAUCUUGAUACAUUUUUAAUAAACGUAAUACAAAUAAAAUUAUAAAUAUAAAAUUGCACAAGACGUGUAUAUAUAUGAAAUGUAUAAUCAUCUCACUCAUGUCUUGCUGUUUGUGCAAUUGAUUUUGUUCAAGUUUAUUUAAAAAUAAGUUUGACUUUAUACUUCUGCAAUUAUUUAUAUAUAUAUAUAU
rnacentral:lncRNA from 1 species